rnacentral:rRNA from 1 species
AUUGAACGCUGGCGGCAGGCCUACCCAAUGAAAGUCGGGCGAGGGGCGGCCGGUGGAGUAAUGAAUGGGGAUCUGCCUGAGGGAGGGGGAUAACUCCUGGAACGGUUAGCUAAUACCGCAUACAAUCAGAUGAACCCAUAUGGGAUUAGCUUGUAGGUGGGGUAACGGCUCACCUAGGCGAGGAUCCCUAGCUGGUCUGAGAGGAUGAUCAGCCACACUGGGACUGAGACACGGCCCAGACUCCUACGGGAGGCAGCAGUGGGGAAUAUUGCACAAUGGGCGCAAGCCUGAUGCAGCCAUGCCGCGUGUAUGAAGAAGGCCUUCGGGUUGUAAAGUACUUUCAGUCGGGAGGCGUUACCGACAGAAGAAGCACCGGCUAACUCCGUGCCAGCAGCCGCGGUAAUUC